GACGAACGCUGGCGGCGUGCUUAACACAUGCAAGUCGAACGGAAAGGCCCUGUUUUUGUGGGCUGCUCGCGUGGCGAUCGGGUGAGCAACACGUGAGUACCCUGCCCCUGACUGUGGGAUAACCUCAGGUAACUGGGGCUCAUCCCGCAUAGGAGCUCCUGCUGCAUGGUGGGGGCUGGAUAGUUUCGGCGGUUGGGGAUGGACUCGCGGCUUAUCAGCUUGUUGGUGGGGUAGUGGCCUACCAAGGUUUUGCCGUGUAGCCGGCCUGCGCGGGUGACCGGCCACAUUGGGACUGUGAUACGGCCCAGACGCCUAUGGGACGCAGCAGUGGGGAAUGGUGCACUAUGGGCGGAACCCUGGUGCAGCAACGCCGCGUCCGGGAGGACAGCCUUCGGGUUGUAUACCGCUGUCGCCUGUGACGAAGCGGGAGUGACGGUAACGGGUAAAGAAGCACCGGCUAACUACGUG
rnacentral:rRNA from 1 species